AGGCAUCACCACCUACUUCCCCUCAGCAGUGGGUCCUUGGUGACCCUCUGGCUGGCAAAUGAUCCCAUCCUGAGGGCCUGCUUCCCAGGACCAUGUCUGGUAUUGUCUCAGGUUGGGGCCCCCAGAAGCCGACCCUGAGAAAAAGAUUUGAGAGCGCAUCAUUUAUUUAGGAGGUGACCCCAGGAAGCCCCUGCAGGGGACAGGUUCUUUCUGCCAUCAUGAAUGUGGCAGAAAGUUGUCAUGAUGCUACAGCAUUUCUCAAGCGUGGUUGUUUCAGGGGAAGAGACUCUGAGGCAGAGAGGAACAUGCAGGAGGUUGAUUAGAGACCGCUCUUGGGAUCAACACCGCUGGAAGAGAAUGCAAUGGAAGGAAGCAAGAUUGGGCAGAAGGAGAAGCUGAUCUGUGAUGCAAGCCCCGUGGGGAGCUCUGAAAAUGGAGGAUGACCAAAGAAUGGCCUUGGUGAUAGAUGAGAUGACCCAGCUGGAGGGUGUAGACAGAGAACGGUCCAGGACCAGUGCUCAGGAAGGUCCAGAUUUAAUGGCUGGGCAGAGGCAGAUGAGUGCACAAUGGAGACCAAGGAGACUCUUCCAGAGAAGUAGGAGGAAACCAAAGAGAUGCGGCCUCCCGGAAGUGACAAGACGAAAAUAUUAUAAGGAGGAGGAUGUGGCCAUGUGCUGGAAGAGGGAUAACAGCAGAUAAAUGAAGAUAAUCUGGACAGCGGUCUGCUUUUGGGGGAACUUAAGCCAACACAAGCUCGAUGGAGAGGACGAGGUUGAAAGUAAAGAAGAGAGAGGAUGCAAAAGAAGGAGCAGAUCCCCAGGGGGUCUAGGGGAUUCAAGUUAUGCAUUUUUGGCAAGAAUAUCCAGAAGCGAUGUGCUUCCAGGUGCAUCAUAUCAAGAAGCCCGUGACGCUGUUUGUCCCAACAUUGGGGGUGUUAGGUUUGAUGGCUUAGUUAAAGUGGUGUCUGCCACGUUUGACAUGCCAAGGGCCGUGUAAGCUGGCAGCCCUCAUGCGACGUUCCGGAGCCGGUGGCACAAGGGGGUCUACAGAGAGAAGAGAGCGGCUCUGCAGGGAAUGAGAAGGAGGAGAGUGGGGGACUCGGACUGAGCGUGGAGAACAGCCACUUGCAUUGCGGUCUCUCCAGUUUCCCAUUUCAAACUCUGGGUCAGCGUGGCAGUCCUUCCUGCCUGUGGGUUCCAUAUGACAUCUGUAAAAUGGGAUGGGAUGGUACCCACCUCCAAGGGUGACUGAAGAUGAGGAACAGCCCGUGUGGGUGCUCAAUAAAUGCUGGCUCUUACUCAGCCACCAUUGUUUUACUUUUAAGUUCUUC
rnacentral:lncRNA from 1 species